AGACUCCCACUCUGCGCAUGAAUUGGUAAGCCUCGCCCUUCAGUCUCUCUCUCCUUCUCGUAGCUUUCUCUUUUCGAUUUUUGCUUGCAUUUGGGAUGGGAGAUGGUGCUUGUUCGAACGACCGAUUGCUGUUCCUCCCGAAAGUUUCGUGUCGUUCGUGGGUUGGCUUGUCUCCGCUGGAGAGGUCUAGUUUCGCUGUAAUUGGUUAGUACAUUUGAGCUUUUGGGGAGAGUGGUUGCCGAUCAUUUGGUCUCUCUCUGGUCUGGCGAACGCAUGCGCGCGAGAAAGUCGAUAGCGGAUAUCUAGGCUCUUCCAACAAUUGUAAGCCCUCUUUACUUCCAAGAGCUCGAAGAGUUAUGGCACCUAACCCCAGAGUAAAGGCAGCCUUUAUGGCAAUGAGGGAUAUCAGAAUCAGUGAAGACAAGUUGAAGCCAGUGCUGAAGAAACUCCUGAAAGUAUAUGACAAAAAAUGGGAGCUGAUUGAAGAAGAAAACUAUAGAGUUCUUGCAGAUGCUAUAUUCGAUGAGGAGGAUGAUAAGGUUGAGGUGCAAAAGCGAAAAAGGACUGCAGGU